CAUGGCUCAGGACGAACGCUGGCGGCAGGCUUAACACAUGCAAGUCGAACGGUAACAUAAAGAAGCUUGCUUCUUUGAUGACGAGUGGCGGACGGGUGAGUAAUGCUUGGGAAUCUGGCUUAUGGAGGGGGAUAACUACGGGAAACUGUAGCUAAUACCGCGUAAUAUCGAAAGAUUAAAGUGUGGGACCUUCGGGCCACAUGCCAUAGGAUGAGCCCAAGUGGGAUUAGGUAGUUGGUGAGGUAAGGGCUCACCAAGCCGACGAUCUCUAGCUGGUCUGAGAGGAUGACCAGCCACACUGGGACUGAGACACGGCCCAGACUCCUACGG
rnacentral:rRNA from 1 species